ACAAAAUAACUCCCAGAACUGUGUUGUUGCUAUUGUUGUUGAUUUGUUUCGAUUAUUUUAGUAUCCCGGCUCUUGCACUGCCAUGAUGAAUUUGGUUUAGGAUUUGUGUCAUCUAAUCCAGAAGGGAUUUUACAGGUCAAUAAAAUGCUUCAGCUGAGUGUAAAUAAGCACUCUUCAAAUACAUUCAACUUCUCAGCACUCGUUUGGAAUAAGUAGUAUUUAGGGAUAAGAGUUUAUGCAUGAAUUAGUACAUGUGUUUCACAGAUGGAGAAGCUGUUAAAUUAGUUCAUCAAUGACCAAAGAAACAGUCUAUGGCCAGAGGCAGUAAGAACCUGCAUUAAAGCUGUAAUUUUACAGUUUCACCCUUGUGUCCCAGUCAGCCACGUUGUUUUAGCUUCAAACUGGUACAAAAAGCCAUCCCCCUCUACCUGGAAGGGACCAAGUGGAGAAUUGGAAGCUUUUGCAGAGGAUGUGCCUAAAAUAUGUGGCAUCAGGGUGUGUGUAGACUGUGGAGAUGGUUAUAGAAACUUCCUCCUUGGAGACGGUGGCAGGAACUAAAGGAAGCUCCUGGAAGCCUGACUCCCACUCUUCAGCUCUCCUAGCAGACAUCAUCCCAGAGAUGGGGGAAACUUCUCAGUUUUUGGAAAAUCACAGGAGUUAAAUUAAAAAAUAAGAAAAAGGAAAUCAAGAAAGUCAUGGAGGAUGUAAUAGAGCUACUGUGGUGAUGGCUUGUGAACACUCCAUAUCCUUUUUGUGCGGGAAUAAUAUUGUUGUGAGUUACAGCAACAGGCAGCUCUGGUAUUUCCUCUUCUGCUAGACAUCAGGUUGUGUUUUUGUAGUUUUGCUGAGAGUCACAGCAGUGAAUUUAUAUCUCUGUAAUCUUUUGCAUCAAGUCGCAAGAACACAGUUGUAAAAACAGCAUAUAAGUCACCUUCAAAUUAUAGCUAAACUAAAUUUUAAGGUAGUAUAUGCAAACCUGCCCUGGAACAGAAAGCUUGUUAUGUACAAAGGUGUUGAUGUUCUUCUGGGUCUGUUUGUUGCCAGAGUCAUGGGGUUGGUGGAGGGGAAAGUAACUCUGCCAAACAAGAAACUCUUGGUUACUUGGCUCUUUGAUUUUCAGAUGAGACACAAGUGUUAAUAUACAUAUUAACACUUAACAAAACAGGAGCCUUAUGACAACAAUGUGUAGAGAUUUCAACUUUUUCCAGGUCAGAUGCAAACUUUUGCUGAAAACUGUCACUGUGCAGGGAUCUGACCCAGCUGCCAAACCCAGGGGCUGGCACUGAGUGCAGGUCACACCACACACUGAAAAAUUGCUUGUCUACAAAGGGUUUGGAGGUAAAAAUCAACAUAUGUCCGCCUCCUUGUUGGUAUAACAAAUCCCAGCAGCCAUGCUCAAGCUGAAAAGACAGCGUGGGGGUUUGCCCACUCAAAACAUCCAGGCAGAAAACAUUUUAUAAAUGGGAAGAAAUACAGAGCAUAAA
rnacentral:lncRNA from 1 species